UACGUAGGGGGCUAGCGUUGUCCGGAAUCAUUGGGCGUAAAGAGCGUGUAGGCGGCCCGGUAAGUCCGCUGUGAAAGUCGGGGGCUCAACCCUCGAAUGCCGGUGGAUACUGUCGGGCUAGAGUGCGGAAGAGGCGAGUGGAAUUCCUGGUGUAGCGGUGAAAUGCGCAGAUAUCAGGAGGAACACCGAUUGCGAAGGCAGCUCGCUGGGACGUAACUGACGCUGAGGAGCGAAAGCGUGGGGAGCGAACAGG
rnacentral:rRNA from 1 species